UUACGGCCAUAUCACGUUGAAACAUCGGUUCCCGUACGAUCACCGAAGUUAAGCAACGACGAGCCUGGCACGUACCUAGAAAUGUAAUAACUUGGGAAUUCCAGGUAUU